AGUGAACGCUGGCGGUAGGCCUAACACAUGCAAGUCGAACGGCAGCACAGUAAGAGCUUGCUCUUACGGGUGGCGAGUGGCGGACGGGUGAGGAAUACAUCGGAAUCUACUUUUUCGUGGGGGAUAACGUAGGGAAACUUACGCUAAUACCGCAUACGACCUACGGGUGAAAGCAGGGGAUCUUCGGACCUUGCGCGAUUGAAUGAGCCGAUGUCGGAUUAGCUAGUUGGCGGGGUAAAGGCCCACCAAGGUGACGAUCCGUAGCUGGUCUGAGAGGAUGAUCAGCCACACUGGAACUGAGACAGGGUCCAGACUCCUACGGGAGGCAGCAGUGGGGAAUAUUGGACAAUGGGCGCAAGCCUGAUCCAGCCAUACCGCGUGGGUGAAGAAGGCCUUCGGGUUGUAAAGCCCUUUUGUUGGGAAAGAAAAGCAGCAGGUUAAUACCCCGCUGUUCUGACGGUACCCAAAGAAUAAGCACCGGCUAACUUCGUG
rnacentral:rRNA from 1 species